GACAGUUGUUUUCUUUUUUAAAUUAGGUAAUGGAUAGGCUUUGGCAGAGUGGCUUUGAAAAGAAGAAAGAAUAUGGAAGCUUCUGGAAACUACUCUGACAGGACAUUCAAUGAGCCAAGACUGCAGCAGUGCGUGGGCAUAGAGAUGUUGCUUCACAGGUGCAGUUUGGACGUGGCAGCUUUGAGAGAACAACUCAGGGCUCAGGGGAGGGGCUUCAAGCAGGUGGUUUACAAAAUGGCUGACGUUGCUGCUGGCUGUGCCUAAAAAGCACAUCCGGUUGGGCUCACAGCCGAUGGAAGGUGGAGGGAAAAGUCUGUGCACACAACUGAAGGAGUCUCUUACUGAGGAUGAUGCCCGUGCAGACCAGAGCAACGCCGCUCGCGAUGGUGGAGACGACGACGGCCAGGACCAGGGAUGUGGACAUCUCUCCCGGUGGGGGUGCAGCUUUGGGAAGGCGCAGUGAGAAUUCCUCGUCAUCGCAGACGCAGAGGAUGAAGUGGCUCUCUUCUUCUCGCUUGCAGCUUUGUGUCUUGCAGUGACUGCAGUUCAGCUGCACCUUGAUCUCGCAUUCGCCGUGACCUUCCAUCGCUGGAAUAACAAUGAUGCAUCAAUGAAAAAAUGUCAUGUGCAUGAAGUAAAAAUAGUCUGAAAAAUGACCUCAUGUGAGGGCUAUCAGUGGCUGCCAUAAAUAUAUAUAUUUAUGUGUUACUUUACCCCCACGUGGAUUUAUCGUAGCAUUACACAUUUCCUUAUUUAUUA